rnacentral:rRNA from 1 species
GACAACAAUUAUACCCAGGGUCCAGCUUGGCAGAUCUUUUCGGCUCAGAAGCUAAGCAGGGUUACACUGGGUUUGUACUUGGAUGGGAAACACAAAGAAAAUUCUAAGUUUAUAGACU